AGAGGAGAAAUUGAAAUGUUAAAUAUAUGCUUAUUUCGAAACAAAUGAAUGCAGGGUGGAGUAACCCUGUUUAUGCAAUGAACGACACUCAACACUUGUAGAUUUACAAUACGUUAUAAAAACUCUUUUAUAGGAAUAUAGUUUUUCCAUACGAAAUAUAAACGUAUUCUUGUCAAUUUUUAUUUCGUUUGUUAUUACGUGCAAUUUUCCAUUUUCCCUAGUAAAACACUGCACUUACAUUCGAAUUCACCGACGGCAUUGUAAAAGCAAAGGAAAUCCCCUUAAAUCGUGGCCAACGUUUCUUUGAGUGUUGCGCUAAGCUUAUGAGAUGUACAGGAAAAUCCAAACUCAAGUCAAGUCGAAGGCCCAGUCAGAGUCGAGUUUUGUUCCUCAGUGUCAGGCCGACUUGCGGAAAUCGGGGAAAUUUUGCACUGGGAGCCGAAACCCGUCGUUCAGAGCUAAAUCGGAGACCGUGGGGAUCCCCAGAGUUGUGGGCCCGCCCACCAGUUCGCUGGUUGUGGAACAGCACACUGCCAAGGUCUUCUGUAUGUUUUGUAAAAAAACAUCGGCAGUCUUUUCUAUGUUUCGAAACAGUAGUGAAUUCGAAUGCAAGUGCACUAAUUGGAACUAAAGCCAAUGCAAAUGGAUUCAAUGCGAAAAGUACUGGCGGGGUGUAAAUCGCGGGGAAACCACAUUAUGUUAUUCCGGAUCCUCUGAUAAGGGCGGAAAGCGCGAGGGCAAACUGCCACUCAUGGAUGGCGCAUCUUCGAACAAAACGCACGAACCCACAAAGUUAAGUGGUUAGGAUGGAUCCAUUUGCGGACAUUGGAUAAGUGCUACUUGAUUGAUCGAUCGAUCAACUAUCCAUCCAUCUGUUCCACAAACAAGUGCGAACUGAAUCGCUUUGGAUGACAGGAAGUCUAGAUAAGCUAGCGGCUAAUGAUUAUACAAAGGUUUAAACAUUUGAACUAGCGGAGAGCCGGAUAAGCCGGAUAAGCCGGAAAAUAUUUGGUAAAUAUUUCCUUUUUAAAAGUAAACAUUUCAAGGGCCAUAUUUACCUAGCGCCCAAGUUACCAAUCGGAAUGUUAGCGAAUCAUGAUUGCUAGAGGAGGGUUACUUUAUGGAAAUUUAAAUGAAAUGUUGACGAAAGUAAAAUUUAAGAUAGAAAGACUGCUUCGACAAACAAAUUUUAAAUGGAAGUAACACGUUAUAACCUUACUUUUAGAUUAAGAAUUAAUUAUUUUAUGAUAUAAUAGUUAAUAAUAGUGCAACAAGACGAGGGCAUAGCAAGCAUGCUUCUAUUAAAUUAUUUACCAUUAUUAAGAUUAUAUCCUCUUAAUUUUGUGUCUCACCUUUGGCCUGAGUAACCGUCAAAAAGCUUCCACAUAAUGUAAAGAAAAGGCAACACCAAAAGGUGGCAGUUUUGACCAUCUCGAACUAUAGUACUUAUAAAACAGAAAAUAAAUGGCUUCUGAACGUAAAAAAAAA